UGGGGAAUAUUGCACAAUGGGGGAAACCCUGAUGCAGCGACGCCGCGUGAACGAAGAAGGUAUUCGUAUCGUAAAGUUCUGUCCUAUGGGAAGAUAAUGACAGUACCAUAGAAGAAAGCUCCGGCUAAAUACGUGCCAGCAGCCGCGGUAAUACGUAUGGAGCGAGCGUUGUCCGGAAUUAUUGGGCGUAAAGGGUACGCAGGCGGUUUAAUAAGUCGAAUGUUAAAGAUCGGGGCUCAACCCCGUAAAGCAUUGGAAACUGAUAAACUUGAGUAGUGGAGAGGAAAGUGGAAUUCCUAGUGUAGUGGUGAAAUACGUAGAUAUUAGGAGGAAUACCAGUAGCGGAGGCGACUUUCUGGACACAAACUGACGCUGAGGUACGAAAGCGUGGGGAGCAAACAGG
rnacentral:rRNA from 1 species